rnacentral:lncRNA from 1 species
CGCUAGUUGCCAGCUCAAAUUGGAGCUCUAGCAAGCAUGGAAAGAGGAGCGAGAUUUGCAUUCAGUAGCAAACAUGACUGCAUAUUUUGUUGCACUUUGUACCGGAGCCGAAUCCUGAAGCUGUUUCUCAGUUGAUGAAGAUGGAACUCAAAUCAACAACUGUGAGCUGCUUAGUUCCUAAAGAUCUUGCUUCCAUUUUUUUUUUCAAACGACCAUUGAUGAACAACAAAGUUUGCUCAACAAACAAGUACACAUCCGCAUAGUUUAACUUGCCUUGCACACAUGUUAUUCCACAAGGAAGAGAUGAAACCGGGUGACUGUUUCAAGAUGGACAGGAGCAAAUUCUUCCUUGCAUGCAUGCUUGCAAUGGCCUGCAGUGCCUACAAAGUACUACACGAUACCAGUACUUGCCAAGCAACAUCCCAAACGGCCUCACGAAGAAGAAGAAGAAGCUCCGCGCCCGCCAGCUUUGGGAUGCACCUUCUUCUUGAUCAACCCAAAAAGUCCGCCGUCUCCUUUGACGCCAGCUUCUCCAGUAGUAGUCUUCUUCCCUGAUGCUCCAUCGCCGGCCUUUUUCUCUCCUUGUGCCGCCGAGCUGCCAUCGACGGCGGCGGCGUUCGCUUCUGCCAUCCCAGUCUCCUUCUUACAGGCGUUCUUCCGCACGUAGGCCUCGGCGAAGUCUCCGCUUAUCAUGGACGCCAUCUUCUUGCUCUGUUUCUCCGGCGCGGCGCCCGGGUUUUCCCAAAGGGCUAAGUGUGUAGUUUUUUUUUCCUUUACCCUCUCGGCCUCUCCUGUACUGUGAGUAAGCGUAGACGAGUGUAGCAAGGGCUGUAUAUAUAGCGAGAAAGGAGGAGAAGAAACUUGGGAUCCAAGGCAGGUAACUCGGCGUGUAGUUUCGGUUCCCUUGACGACCUGCUUGGUUGAACUGCACGGUUGGUGAGAUGCCACCGCAGCAUGAUUGACGAAGCGUUCGCUC